GGCAACAGCUCAAAUUUGAAAUCUGGCCCUUGUGGUCCGAGUUGUAAUUUGUAGAGGAUGCUUUUGGUGAGGUACCUUCCGAGUUCCCUGGAACGGGACGCCAUAGAGGGUGAGAGCCCCGUCUGGUUGGAUACCGAGCCUCUGUAAAGCUCCUUCGACGAGUCGAGUAGUUUGGGAAUGCUGCUCUAAAUGGGAGGUAUAUGUCUUCUAAAGCUAAAUAUUGGCCAGAGACCGAUAGCGCACAAGUAGAGUGAUCGAAAGAUGAAAAGCACUUUGAAAAGAGGGUUAAAUAGUACGUGAAAUUGUUGAAAGGGAAGCGCUUGUGACCAGACUUGGGCUUGGUUAAUCAUCCAGGGUUCUCCCUGGUGCACUUGGCCAGCCCAGGCCAGCAUCAGUUUGUCGCGGGGGAUAAAGGCGUCGGGAAUGUGGCUCCCCCGGGAGUGUUAUAGCCCUUCGUGUAAUACCCUGCUUUAGACUGAGGUUCGCGCAUCUGCAAGGAUGCUGGCGUAAUGGUCAUCAGCGACCCGUCUUGAAACACGGACCAAGGAGUCGUCUUCGUAUGCGAGUGUUCGGGUGUCAAACCCCUACGCGUAAUGAAAGUGAACGCAGGUGAGAGCUUCGGCGCAUCAUCGACCGAUCCUGAUGUUCUCGGAUGGAUUUGAGUAAGAGCAUACGGGGCCGGACCCGAAAGAAGGUGAACUAUGCCUGUGUAGGGUGAAGCCAGAGGAAACUCUGGUGGAGGCUCGCAGCGGUUCUGACGUGCAAAUCGAUCGUCAAACAUGGGCAUGGGGGCGAAAGACUAAUCGAAC
rnacentral:rRNA from 1 species